AUUGAACGCUGGCGGCAGGCCUAACACAUGCAAGUCGAACGAGUGGCGGACGGGUGAGUAAUGUAUGGGAAACUGCCUGAUGGAGGGGGAUAACUACUGGAAACGGUAGCUAAUACCGCAUACCAUCAGAUGUGCCCAGGUGGGAUUUGGUUGUUGGUGGGGUAACGGCUAACCAAGGCGACGAUCCCUAGCUGGUCUGAGAGGAUGACCAGCAAAACUGGACCUGAGACACGGCCCAGACUCCGACGGGAGGCAGCAGUGGGGAAUAUUGCGCAAUGGGCGCAAGCCUGAUGCAGCCAUGCCGCGUGUAUGAAGAAGGCUUUCGGGUUUUAAAGUACUUUCAGCGGGGAGGCGUUACCCGCAGAAGAAGCACCGGCUAACUCCGUGCCAGCCGCCGCGGUAAUAC
rnacentral:rRNA from 1 species